UCAGCCCUCCUCAUCUCUCCUUAAGGAGGACAGGGGCCAAAGGAUCUGUGUGAUGGGAUGAGAAGAGAAUGUCAAAUGUCACAGGGCACCUGCAUGGGAACACAGAGCCCUAGGCAGGAGACAGUGACUCAGCCUGGCCAGCUGUUGUCUGUUGAUACUCUGCUACAAAAAGACCUUUCUUUCAGGCACACGCAAGUCAAAUUUCAAGAAUGUUUAACACCAAGCCACC